CUACGGGGUGCAGCAGUGGGGAAUCUUGGACAAUGGGCGCAAGCCUGAUCCAGCCAUGCCGCGUGAGCGAUGAAGGCCUUCGGGUUGUAAAGCUCUUUCGUGGGGGAAGAUAAUGACUGUACCCCAAGAAGAAGCCCCGGCUAACUCCGUGCCAGCAGCCGCGGUAAUACGGAGGGGGCUAGCGUUGUUCGGAAUUACUGGGCGUAAAGCGCACGUAGGCGGACCAGAAAGUCAGGGGUGAAAUCCCGGGGCUCAACCCCGGAACUGCCUUUGAAACUUCUGGUCUUGAGGUCGAGAGAGGUGAGUGGAAUUCCGAGUGUAGAGGUGAAAUUCGUAGAUAUUCGGAGGAACACCAGUGGCGAAGGCGGCUCACUGGCUCGAUACUGACGCUGAGGUGCGAAAGCGUGGGGAGCAAACAGGAUUAGAUACCCGCGUAGUC
rnacentral:rRNA from 1 species